rnacentral:piRNA from 1 species
AUAAAGAGGACUGUAAAUAUUGGU